CUAAACUUCCUCUUGUGGAAAUUUUCUUUUCAUUGCUUUUACUCUAGAUUGUUUUAUUUUUUAUAAAAACCAUUGACCACAUGACCACAGUCUUCACUAACUCAUACUAUAUAGUCAGAGUGUUUAUGUUUAUGUAGUAUUUCUCUCGCUUUUUAACAAUUUUUUAUUUACUUAACAAUGUAGAACUUUGCAGCCAUCAGUAGUUCUGAUGCAAUUGGAAAUUUGGGAAACUUGGUGGAGCUGUUAAUGCAGUGAAUCUUGUAGGUAAAAUAUAUGCAUACUUUUUUUUCUUAAUAUUUUUUAGUUGUAGAUGGACACAGUACCUUUAUUUUAUUUAUGUAUUUUUUUAACGUGGUGCUGAGAAUUGAACUCAGUGCUUCACAUGUGCCAGGCAAGCACUCUACCACUGAGCCACAACCCCAGCCCAUGUGCAUACUUUUGAUAGCACGUAUGCCUCCAUAUGUGCUAUCAAAAGUAUCAAAAGACAUAUGUGCUCUUAAAAGUUGACUUUAUUGGUUUUAUUUUCAGCAAACUGAUGUUAGGCCAUUCAACAUGAAUUUUAUUGUCCUGAUAUUAGUUCAUGUUCUCUUUUUACAACAAAUUAAUGAUCAACAGAAGAUACCAAUUUAAUAUAAAAAGUAUCAGGGCCUUCACAGCCACCAUAGGCUUUCUACUUUCCAUUAUGUUAUAUUCUUGCAAAAGUCUGCUUUGGUUCCACAGGAGCUUUAGUUUCCUGGUGAGAUAGUGAUACAGAAUGUGUCAUCCACUCUGUCUGGAUGAGGCUUAUGUAGCAUUUCUCUACAACUCUUUGCUGUAGUAAUUUUUUAAAAAGCAACCUACACAAAACCUCUUAAAAAGAGUGACAGUAUGGGGCUGGGGAUGUGGCUCAAGCGGUAGCGCGCUCGCCUGGCAUGUGUGCGGCCUGGGUUCGAUCCUCAGCACCACAUACAAACAAAGAUGUUGUGUCCGCCGAAAACUAAAAAAAUAAAUAUUAAAAUUCUCUCUCUCUCUUAAAAAAAAAAAAAAGAGUGACAGUAUGGAGAACUGAGAUGUACUCUUGUUUAUCCAUUAGCAAAAGGUUGGUGGUAUUGUGCUGCAUUUGUACACUAUGAUGGAAUAAUAGUUAUAAUGCAACAAAACAGUUGGUCAUAUUUUUUCAGGCUGGUUUGAUGUUGACUUGAAACUACAAAAAAUACCCUAUUGGGUUAACCUGUUU
rnacentral:lncRNA from 1 species